GAUGAAGAACGUAGUGAAAUGCGAUAAGUAAUGUGAAUUGCAGAAUUCAGUGAAUCAUCGAAUCUUUGAACGCACAUUGCGCCCGCCAGUAUUCUGGCGGGCAUGCCUGUUCGAGCGUCAUUUCAACCAUCAAGCCCUGCUUGCGUUGGGGUCCUGCGGCUGCCCGCAGGCCCUGAAAACCAGUGGCGGGCUCGCUGUCACACCGAGCGUAGUAGCAUACAUCUCGCUCUGGGCGUGCUGCGGGUUCCGGCCGUUAAACCACCUUCAUAACCCAAGGUUGACCUCGGAUCAGGUAGGAAGACCCGCUGAACUUAAGCAUAUCAAUAAGCGGAGGA
rnacentral:misc_RNA from 1 species